GAUGAAGAACGCAGCGAAAUGCGAUAAGUAGUGUGAAUUGCAGAAUUCAGUGAAUCAUCGAAUCUUUGAACGCACCUUGCACCCUUUGGCAUUCUGAAGGGUAUGCUCGUUUGAGUGUCAUUGUACUCUCACACUCCCGAUCUUUGCAUUGGGAGCAGUGGACUUGGGUUUGCUGCUUCACCGUCGCUUACCUCAAAUAGGUUAGUGCAACUCUUGGUUGGACAUAGUACGGCGUGAUAAGUGUUCUUCGCCGGUGCCUCGCAAAGAGGGUGGCCGAUCGGGAUGUUUGUGCUCCAAACCGUCUUCGGACAAUCUCUGACGACUUGACCUCAAAUCGAGUAAGACUACCCGCUGAACUUAAGCAUAUCAAAAGCGAGGA
rnacentral:misc_RNA from 1 species